UAGGAGUGUUAUUCAUCCAGACAAAAAUGC
rnacentral:piRNA from 1 species